AUGUGCUGCACCGACCGGCCCUGAUUCGAGAGAAUCCAAUCCAACCAAAGCAACACAACACAACACAACGCUUCCUCCUCCUCUCCCCUCGAAUCGAUCCCCUCCAAACCCGCCGCCGCCGGCGUGGACCUCCUAUCCCCAUCCCCACCAGCGUUCUCGUCUCCUCUAGCCUCACCGUCGACCUCCCGCCCUGCCCUGCAUCCCGUCGCCGGCGCCCCCACCCUCUCCCCUCUCCGUCUCUUCCUAGGAGGGAGUGAGGCCUCAGAUCCACAGGCCGCGGCAACCACCGCCACCGCGUCCUACUCCUUCCACCCCACCUAGCCGCCCUUCACCUCCACAGCUCUCCGUCCCUCCCUCCCUCCUCGCGCCCGCAGCCAUGUCGACCGAGCUCAGGACCCUCUCCUCCAAGACCAAAACGCAGGCAGCAGGCCAGGGCGACUUCAGCACCUCCCUUCUCCUGGACGGCAAUUCAGUCGUGUUGGUCGUGCGCCCCCACAACCAGAGAGGAGGGGAGAGGAGGCGGAGAUGCUGCUGCUGCACGGGCUGACGGGGAAGAACAAGCAGGCGUGGAAGGAGGGCAAGAUCCGCGGCACGGCGGUGCUGGUCAAGAGCGGCGUGCUCGACCUCGGCGACUUCAACUCAUCCGUCCUCGACGACGUCCACAAGAUCCUCGACGGCCAAGGACGAUGGCGUCUCCUUCCAUCUCGUCAGCGCCACCGCACCCAACCCCCAUAAGCAGUCGCCUCCUCUCCCUUCCUCUCACCCCUGCCCUGCAUCUCUGAACUCACCACGCCGUCUCCUUCCCUACACCGCGUGCGUUUUAGUUUUCCUCUUUGCCAUUGCAAUCUGUACUGUUGAUUUCAAUCCAAAAUAAAAGAACAAGCAGUGCAGAUUUGGUUCCUUUUCUUUUCUUGCCGGAGACAAUAUUUGUAAUUUAUACAUUUUUUAUAUUUCCAAAAGGGAGAUGCAAUCAACGAUGGCAGGGGAGUCGGUUUUUCCGGGUCACGUUUGAGUGGUCGAACGACUCACAGGGCAUCACCAGCACCAUUCUGAGUUCUUCCUCAAGACGCCCACCCUCGACGGCGUUCUCGCAACAAGAGUUCUCGCGUGUGUUUCAGUUUGCCUCUGGCGUUCUCGCGACAAUCUGUACUAGCUGCCAUCUGUAUUGAUUUUAGUUUUUUUUUAAAGACGAUCUGUAUUGAUUUUGAUUCGUUUCCUUUUCUUGGCGGAUGCACGACCUGUUUCCUAUGUAUGUGUAGGUACACUUACUAUGUUUUCAAAGUUGGCUGGCACAGAGCAAAGUCAUCAAUCAAUGCCAUCUUCCAGUCAUUCUUUGUUUAUCUGAAUCACUCACUGUAAUUUGUAGUACUUGGAAAUUUACUUGUGGUAGUCUGAAGCUUUAUUUUAGUAAUAUACUUGGAGAAUUCCAAAUUGAUUUUGUGAGCAGACCAUGUUGAUAAACUAUAGCACUUCGUCUUGUCGUUCCUACUCAGACCCCCCCUGCUGACCUGCUUCCUUUACUAAUCUAAUCAGGGAUUGAAGGUUGUCAACAAAGAAAGGAAGAAAGAAAGAAAGAUCCAUUUCUCCAUGGAAGGAGGAAGGGACAUCUUGAUCGCAAGUGAGUGACUGGAAGCAACCGAGGGAGCCGGCAACCUCUCCGACAUGCUGCUCAUGACCACCUCCCCAACCAGAUGCUGUUGUAGGCAGUAGACUUAGCCAUUUGUCGAUAAAAUCCUUGUGUGUGCUAAGUAUGGAUGUCAAUUUUGUUUCACUCAAUUUCACUUCUCUGCAAUGUUCAUUCUCACAUAUUUCUAUCAUUCUUUGCAGGGAUAAAGUAAAGAAAAAGAAGAAAAGAUUACUAGAAGAUUAGUUUUAGAAUUUUCUUUUAUUUCCUUGUAAUUUUUCUUUUAUUGGAUACUUGUAAAGACAUUGUAAUAUUCUUACUAUAAUAAAAAUUAUGAU